GAGGAUACAGCUCAGUGGCAGAGCACAUGCUUAGCAUGCAUGAGGUUCUGGGUUCAAUCCCCAGUACCUCCA
rnacentral:tRNA from 1 species